AGAGUUGUAUCCUGGCUCAGGAUGAACGCUGGCGGUAUGCCUAACACAUGCAAGUCGUACGAGAGUUUUUAACUCUAGUGGCGGACGGGUGAGUAACACGUGAGAAUUUGCCUUUAGGAGGGGGAUAACGAUUGGAAACGAAUGCUAAUACCCCAUAUGCUUUCGAGUGAAAUGGAUUUAUAUUUAUCCGCCUAGAGAGAAGCUCGCGGCUGAUUAGCUUGUUGGUAAGGUAAGAGCUUACCAAGGCGACGAUCAGUAUCUGGUUUGAGAGGACGAUCAGACACACUGGAACUGAGACACGGUCCAGACUCCUACGGGAGGCAGCAGUGGGGAAUUUUCCGCAAUGGGCGAAAGCCUGACGGAGCAAUACCGCGUGAGGGAAGACUGCCUAUGGGUUGUAAACCUCUUUUUUCAGGGAGGAAUCAAUGACGUGUACCUGAAGAAUAAGCAUCGGCUAACUCCGUGCCAGCAGCCGCGGUAAGACGGAGGAUGCAAGCGUUAUCCGGAAUCACUGGGCGUAAAGCGUCUGUAGGUGGUUUAAUAAGUCAACUGUUAAAUCUUGGGGCUUAACCUCAAAAUCGCAGUCGAAACUAUUAGACUAGAGUAUAGUAGGGGUAAAGGGAAUUUCCAGUGGAGCGGUGAAAUGCGUAGAGAUUGGAAAGAACACCGAUGGCGAAGGCACUUUACUGGGCUAUUACUGACACUCAGAGACGAAAGCUAGGGUAGCAAAUGGGAUUAGAUACCCCAGUAGUCCUAGC
rnacentral:rRNA from 1 species